rnacentral:rRNA from 1 species
AGGACGAACGCUGGCGGCGUGCUUAACACAUGCAAGUCGAGCGGUAAGGCCUUUCGGGGUACACGGGCGGCGAACGGGUGAGUAACACGUGGGUGAUCUGCCCUGCACUCUGGGAUAAGCCUGGGAAACUGGGUCUAAUACCGGAUAUGACCUGCUCUCGCAUGGGGGGUGGGUGGAAAGAUUUAUCGGUGCAGGAUGGGCCCGCGGCCUAUCAGCUUGUUGGUGGGUGAUGGCCUACCAAGGCGACGACGGGUAGCCGACCUGAGAGGGUGACCGGCCACACUGGGACUGAGACACGGCCCAGACUCCGUACGGGAGGCAGCAGGUGGGAAUAUUGCACAAGUGGGCAAAGCCUGAUGCAGCGACGCCGCGUGAGGAUGAAGGCCGUUCGGGUUAGUAAACCUCUUUCAGCGAGGACGAAGCGACGAAGGUCGACGGUACCUCGACGAA